rnacentral:rRNA from 1 species
AUUGAACGCUGGCGGCAGGCUUAACACAUGCAAGUCGAGCGGAGAUGAGGUGCUUGAACCUUAUCUUAGCGGCGGACGGGUGAGUAAUGCUUAGGAAUCUGCCUAUUAGUGGGGGACAACAUUCCGAAAGGAAUGCUAAUACCGCAUACGCCCUACGGGGGAAAGCAGGGGAUCUUCGGACCUUGCGCUAAUAGAUGAGUCUAAGUCGGAUUAGCUAGUUGGUGGGGUAAAGGCCUACCAAGGCGACGGUCUGUAGCGGGUCUGAGAGGAUGAUCCGCCACACUGGGACUGAGACACGGCCCAGACUCCUACGGGAGGCAGCAGUGGGGAAUAUUGGACAAUGGGCGGAAGCCUGAUCCAGCCAUGCCGCGUGUGUGAAGAAGGCCUUUUGGUUGUAAAGCACUUUAAGCGAGGAGGAGGCUACUGAGACUAAUACUCUUGGAUAGUGGACGUUACUCGCAGAAUAAGCACCGGCUAACUCUGUGCCAGCCGCCGCAGUAAGAC